rnacentral:rRNA from 1 species
UACGGGGGGGGCAAGCGUUGUUCGGAAUUACUGGGCGUAAAGGGCUCGUAGGCGGCCAACUAAGUCGGACGUGAAAUCCCUCGGCUUAACCGGGGAACUGCGUCCGAUACUGGAUGGCUUGAGUUCGGGAGAGGGAUGCGGAAUUCCAGGUGUAGCGGUGAAAUGCGUAGAUAUCUGGAGGAACACCGGUGGCGAAGGCGGCAUCCUGGACCGAUACUGACGCUGAGGAGCGAAAGCCAGGGGAGCAAACGGG